CUCUGUACAUCUAUCAAUUUCCGUAAUCACCAUAAUCAUCUUCGCCAUCCAUUCCUGUUUCUUCUUUAAUCUUGUAUUUUACUUUUCCUCUCAUUCUCUUUUUUUUCUGCUUUUCGUUAUAUAAGUCUUCUCUUUCUCUGCUUCCCCUCCCUGUCUGCUUGCUUGUCUGGUCUGCCUGUCUGUCUGCCUGUCAUUCAAUCUGUCUGUCUCCAUCUAUCUCAGUGUAUAUACAGUUUAGUCUUCUCUCUUCUCUUCUCUUCUCUUUUUCUUUAUUUUCUCUUAUCUCCUUUCCUUUCCUCUCCAUUCUUUUCCUUUUUCUCCUUUCUUUUCAUUUCUUUUUCCUUUCUUUUCCUUUUAUUUCAUAUUUCAUUUUUUUUUCUUUCCUUCUAUUUUCUUCUCUUCACUUCUCCCUCUCACUCUCUUUCUCUCACUGGGCACGAGCUGAGAAGUCCUGGCAGUGGAGGAAGAGGAGGAGGAAGCAGGAGAGAGACGGGAGAUCACUCCAACAUAUUACAAGAUUCCAAGCCCAUUGAAGUCCAUAUGACAAAAGCCUAGAGUAUGUAUAUGCCGAGUUAAGCCCGUCAUCCUGCUUCCUUUAGACUCACGGGCCCCUUUUCAGGCUGGCUGGCCGGCCGUCCUUUCUUGCGCCUUUCUCUCCUCCCUAAGACGGAUUACAUUCCUUCCUCGCCCGCCCGUGUGCUAUUCGUUCCUUGUAUGAUCCUGCUCCCCAGCCAUUCAUGAUCUUGGUGCCCAUUCAUGAUCUUCUUGGUCUUCUUUUUUCGCUUGUCCUUUUUGCUUCCAUUUCGUGUUUUCUUCAUUUUUUUUUCCUUCAUCUUUCAUCUUUCAGCUUAACCGAGACCUUAAAAUAACGGUCAAACAGGUUUUAUUUUUUUUUACAUAAAAGGAGACAGUUCAAGGGCGUGAAAAAAAAAUAAUGAAAAAAAAAGCCCGCUACUUACUGCUCCCGAAUAGUGUACAUAGGAGUGGCCAAAAAGAGACGACGCAGUUUAUACAUCGGCAAGAGUUUUCUUUUCUCGAGUCAUCCGUCACUACAACAACCUUCCUGCAGUAGUAGUUAAAUGGAAAAUCAUAUUGACCGUCGUUACUUUGCUGCAUCAGGAGUGAAAUAAACGAUUAUACACGUACGUACAGAAAGUGCUUCCGCAGAUCACAGUAGCGCCUGACGAGUAUAUUAAAACCCUAAAAUAGGCAGCCUCGUUAUAAGCCAACAGGUGGCGUUUCAGCUCUUUCAUCUUUCCAUCUAUCCUCCUUCCCCUAAAUCCCAUUCCCUUACCAUUCCCUGCCCCUUGCGUCACCCCCCUCCCCCGUCCCACCUGGCCCUCUACCUCUCCCCUCCACCUAUCGCUCCCUCUACCCCCUUUCCCCUAUCCCUCCCCCUCCCUCUCCUCCUUUUCACUUGCAGAAAGACUUAUGAACGCCGUAAAUUAAUAGUCAAAUUGGAAAACGGAAACCUCGUCACACACACACACACACACACACACACACACACACACACACUCACACAGUCACUUGUUUGCUCAACCUCCCCAGCCUCCCUAACCAAGGCCAUGACCGAACACUUACCCGCCCCGUCCCUGACAACCCGACCGAGACAAAAACAUAAAAAGACGGAGAGGAAUGGGAGAAAAUCCAGCCAUGACGUCACUGUGCACUGCAAGUUUUAUGGCGCGGCCAGUGACGCGGAGAGAUAAACACGGGGUAGGUUUUGUGCGGUUGAAAAAUACAUCCCGAGGCAAAACGAAGAAAAGGAUAUUGAGAUGAAGGCGUGGCGGAUCGAUUGACCGUGACUUUGGGAACAGAAGGAAAAAGAAUCAGACAGCCAGCCACAAGAUGAAAAUAACAUAACAACAUAACAAGGCAAAGCAAAGACACUCAAGAACACUCUAGGAAAGAAAAUAUGAUGAAAAUACAUACAGAAGCAAAACGAAGGAAAGAACAUUAAGACGAAAGCGCGGCAGAUCGAUUGACCGUGAGUUUGGGGACAGGAGGAGCAAGGAAAGAUUAUUAAAACAACCAAGACGAGAAGACAAACAUGGAGAAGGUUUUGUGCGGUUGAAAAAUAUAUCCAGAAACAAAACGGAGGAAAGAACAUUGAGACGAAAGCGCGGUAGAUCGAUUGACCGUGAGUUUGGGGACAGGAGGACCAGGGGAAGAUUAUAAGACAACCAUGAAGCGGAGAUACGAACACGGAGCAGGUUUAGGGCGGUUGAAAAAUACAUCCAUAAGCAAAACGAAGAAAAGAAUAUUGAGAUGAAAGCACGGCAGAUCGAUUGGCCGUGAGUUUGAGGAAAAGAGGAACAAAGGGGAUAUUAUUAAAACCACCAUGACGAGAAGACAAACAUGGAGAAGUUUUUGUGCGGUUGAAAAAUACAUCCAGAAACAAAACGAAGGAAAAAACAUUGAGACGAAAGUGCGGCAGAUCGACUGGCCGUGAGUUUGAGGAAAAGAGGAGCAAAGAAAUAUUAAUAAAGACAACCGUGUCGCGGAGACGAACACGGAGCAGGUUUUGGGCAGAUGAAAAAUACAUCCAUAAGCAAAACGAAGAAAAGAAUAUUGAGAUAAAAGCAGAAAAGAUCAAUUGGCCGUGACUUUGGGGACGACAAACAUGAAGAAGGUUUUGUGAGGUUAAAAAAGGCAUCCAGAAGCAAAAGGAAGGAAAGAAUAUUGAGAUGAAAGCGUGGGAGAUCGAUUUGGGGACAGAAGGAGCAAGGGAAAAUUAUCAAGACAACCAGACAGCCAGACGAAAGAUGAAAAUAGCACACCAGGAUAAUAAGGCAAAGCAAACACACUCGCUGACACUCCAGGAAAGAAAAUAUGAUAAAAAAAAAACAUGAAAAAAGUAUUCAAAAGCAACCAGGGGGAAAAACGGCAAUUAAAAAGCAAAGCAGAUCAGUUUACCGUAAUUCAUGGGACAAAAAUCGGCGUAAAAAAUUUAAAAAAUUAUAAUAGGAAAGCAGAAUGUUACAGCUUUUGCAUGUAUUUGGAUUUUGUUUCACUCCUUUGCUGUAGAAAAUGAAUUAAUUAAUGAAUCCCCAGCGGGUGAAUUUGGCCGCGACACAAGAGAAAAAUAAAUAACUAGAUUGAAAGAUAGUUAAGAGUCCAUUAUGACAAAACUAGAGAACGGGUGAAAUCAAACAAAAAUAAAAGAAACACAGAUGGACAGACAUUUACGCCACAAAUAAGAGUUUAAAAAGAUAGACAAAAACGUAGUCAGACUUAAUCAUAUGGAAAAAAAAAAUACCUGAAUAAAAGCGAAGCGGAGAGACUCAUUACCCGUGAAUAUGGGGAGAAAAAAAUCACAGAGUAGAGGAUGAUUAUUCAAAAUGGACCCAAACGCAAAAACACACAAAAUGAGAAAAAAUACGACAAAAAUAAGAUAAAAUAGGACAGAAAAUUAAAAAAACAACGCAAUAGAUAAAAUAAUAACAA